UGGACACAAUACCUUUACUUUUAUGUGGUACUGAAUGGAACCCAGGGCCUCACACGUGCUAGGCAAGUGCUCUGCCACUGAGCCACAACCCCAGCCCCUCCUAUGUACUCUUGUCAUGUGACACAUCACUGUAGAUAAAUAGCACCUCAAAGGGAUAAAGAUGCUCUAGAGAAAAAUGAAACAGUGAUCCCGGUGGUGUCAUGUGAGCCGAGCCACCUGAGUGGACAUAUGCUGCAGGCUGAUCCAGGUGGAGGAGGGGAAGGUCAGAACACAUCCUCAGGAACUCACGGGCCAUGAUGGAGACAAUGUGUCUUACCUUGAUUGAAAUGGGAGGCAAGGGCACUUAAAGGCCAACCUGCAAGUGAGUAAGGCUGGCAGGAGCAUCAGGUAGAGGCCAGGAGUCUCUGAUGUGGUGGAGGGGUGAGAAGUGACAUGGCACAGUACCCUGCAUCUGCCUCCUUCCCUAUAAUGUGGCAGAGAGCAGCUGCCCAGCAAAUAUCUGUUGAUCUCAGAUCUGCAAACCACAUGGAUAGAAUGAUGAGUGGUUGCUGGGGUCUAUCAGGAGAAUGGGGAGGGAUAGAUGAGGAGACUGUUCUGGGACUAGACAGUGGGGAUGGCUGCACAACGUUGAACAUGCACUCAAUUGCACUGAACUGAACAUUUCAAAAUGAGUAAACCACUCAAUUUUAUUUAAAAUUAAUCAUAAGCAAAUAAAAAAUAAACAACUAAAAUGAGUAGGAAAAUAAGUGAAAUGGGUAAGGGAGGUGAAGGCUGCUCUGGGCAUAGCAGGUCAAGGUGGAGCUCAGGAGCUGGCCCUGGCUGUGGAUCCUCUGGGAGCUCAGACCUGGAGCUGGUGGUGGAGGGGUUUCUGGCAGAGACUCUCCCUCUGGUGUUUAAGGUGGUGAUGGAGCCACUGUUGGAACUUCCACAACUGCUGGAGGUGGCCCUGCAACUGCAAGAGGAGACAAGAUCACAAAUGUCCAUGUUCGUUCCAGGCACAAGAUACUGUCCACUGACUUUCAGAGAGAACUCCACACAAAAACUCAGCAUGAGGAAGUGUUCCCAGACUGUAUCAACCACUGAUUGCCCCGUUUCUCAUUGUUCCUCCCCCACUGCAGCUUCUAGAAGCUCUGUUCUGUGUGUCCAGCCCCAACUCCUCCCCACAUGCUCACAGGCCCCCACCCCAGUCCUAUCAUCUUCAGAAUCUGCCUCAGUGGACUCUGGGUGCUCCAGGAGUUCCAGGAGAAGGUGGUUUUGAGUCCCACAGGUGGGCCUGGCAUGUUGAGCUGGUUGAUGUCCUGUUGUGUGGACAUGAGCCUAGGGGAACGUGGGUGGCAGCAGCAUGAGAGGCCCGGCCUUUCCUCCACACUGCCCUCCCAGGCAACCCUGCAUGGCUGCACCUCUGGUCCUCUGGCCCGAGCCUUCUAGAGGCCAGCCCCACCCUGUGUCCACCCCAGUGUGACAGACAGCUCUUGUAACCAAGGAUGGACUGACAGAAACCCCACUGGGAGAGUCCUUGAUCAACACUGUGACCACCUGACCCUUUUUCAGAGAACCUUGACACUACUAUCCCUCUUCUCCCUCCCCGACAGCCCCACCCUCAAUCCAAUGAUGAGAGUGAGGUGGUGUCUGCUGCGUGCAUUGCACUCACUGACUCAGGGCUGGUGCCCCAUAAAUAUCUGAUAAAUGAGGGAACAAUGGGGGUCUGUCCUGCCCAGCCUUCCCCAGGCCAUUAGCUGACAUACUGACAUGCCGCCUAGUUCUCUUUACCUCAUCUGGGUCAGCUUGUCCCACUGAUAUUCAUGCAUAUCUAGAGGAGGCCAGAAGAUGUUAUGGCUCCUAUAAUGUUGAAAUCAUGUGCCCUGGUAUCUAGUGUGACCUGGUCUAGUCCAAGAGGGCAGGAGUUGCUCCCUGUGUCUGCCCAUAGUGUGGCUUCAUGUGUAUUCGUUAAAGGUUGGAAUGCCAUCACCUACUUCUGAGAUGUCUUGAGUGGUCCUGAAUCCCUCUGCCAGACCCCAGGGAAUCCAGUUUGGGGUACACUGAGAAGCCCAUAGAGUGAACCUCGAAUGUUCUUUACAAUGAAGAAAGCAGCUUAACCGAAUAAGGGGGUCAGUGAGGGGUAAGGGAAAAGCUUCCCUGAUGGCAGAGGACAAUAAUAGGAAUAGGCACAGCCCCUCCAGCAGAUCUUCCCAUGGGAUCAGUCCUGGUAAGCACUUUCCAUGGAAAUCACACUGAAUCCUCAACAACCCUGAGAAUUGACCAUCUAGGCACCCCAUGUUCAGAGAGCAGACUGAGGAUUAGAGAGGUGCAGGGACAUUCCCAGAACCGUGUCACACUGUGCCUGGAAGGUGGGGCUAACCUCCAGGUGAACAUGAAAAUCUGUUGUGUGGACCUGAAGAUCCAGUAGAUUCUGGUGAAUGAAGGGUGCUAGGCAGGGUGGCAUCAGGGCCUCCUCCAGGUUCUUCAUUAUGCCUGCCUGUAUCACACAGAGUAGGGGGGAUCAUCCACCUCUAUGGACAACUCUCCCUCCUGGGGCCAGACAGUGGGGAGACAGAGUCAUUGGGUAAAAUGUGACCCACUAACAGGGUUGGGGGCCAGGAGCUCAAACCAAACUCCAUAGCCCUAUGUGGCUUGCACCAGAGGAGGACAAGAGACCCCCAUCCCAACAGUGGUUCUCAGAGUUCAAAGUGGAAUUGCAGAGGGAAUAGUUUAGAUAUAGUA
rnacentral:lncRNA from 1 species